rnacentral:lncRNA from 1 species
UGUGACGGAGGCCCUGGCAGACUGGUCCCGAGAAGGUGGAUGUGACCGCAUUGAUAUUCCCAAGCCGUAUCACGAAUGCAAAUCCUAUUCCUUCUGGGGUGUUUAAAGAUCACACUUCUAAAUCAUAGAGCCAUCUGCCUCAGUGCCUGUGGAAUAAUUGGGCUGGUUUAGAAUCCAUUUACGAGCGGCUGAGGCCAUGACGCGGCCAUCACGGCCAAUGUUAUGAUAUGAUAUUCACGGAGAGUCGUCCCUUGCCUGGGACU